rfam:Asian citrus Psyllid, Diaphorina citri - Florida Strain, whole genome shotgun sequence.
CCCGGGCGUGAUAGCACGUUGGAUGCACCAGUUCUGACUAUAUCACUGAAGUUAAGCAACGUUUCGCGUGGUUGGUAUCCGGAAGGGUGACUGUGUGGUACAUCACGUAUUACUGGCU